rnacentral:tRNA from 1 species
GGGCGGUUAGCUCAGCUGGUAGAGCAUCUCGUUUACACCGAGAAUGUCGGCGGUUCGAACCCGUCACCGCCCACCA